AUAGAGAUAUACAUUACCUAUAUAGGAGCGAACGAGGGGAAUUGAAACAUCUUAGUACCCUCAGGAAAAGAAAUCAAUAGAGAUUGUGUCAGUAGCGGCGAGCGAAAGCGCAAGAGGGCAAACCCAGUGCUUGCACUGGGGGUUGUAGGACUGCAAUGUGCAAGAGCUGAGUUUAGCAGAACAUUCUGGAAAGUAUAGCCAUAGAGGGUGAUAGUCCCGUAUGCGAAAAACAAAGCUUAGCUAGCAGUAUCCUGAGUAGGGCGGGACACGAGGAAUCCUGUCUGAAUCCGGGUCGACCACGAUCCAACCCUAAAUACUAAUACCAGAUCGAUAGUGCACAAGUACCGUGAGGGAAAGGUGAAAAGAACUGAGGUGAUCAGAGUGAAAUAGAACCUGAAACCAUUUGCUUACAAUCAUUCAGAGCACUAUGUAGCAAUACAGUGUGAUGGACUGCCUUUUGCAUAAUGAGCCUGCGAGUUGUGGUGUCUGGCAAGGUUAAGCAAACGCGAAGCCGUAGCGAAAGCGAGUCUGAAUAGGGCGCUUAGUCAGAUGCUGCAGACCCGAAACGAAG
rnacentral:rRNA from 1 species